GCCAGACUCCUACGGGAGGCAGCAGUGGGGAAUAUUGCACAAUGGGGGGAACCCUGAUGCAGCGACGCCGCGUGGGUGAAGGAGUAUUUCGGUAUGUAAAGCCCUAUCAGCAGGGAAGAACAAUGACGGUACCUGACUAAGAAGCACCGGCUAAAUACGUGCCAGCAGCCGCGGUAAUACGUAUGGUGCAAGCGUUAUCCGGAUUUACUGGGUGUAAAGGGAGCGCAGGCGGCGCGUUAAGCCUGGUGUGAAAGCCCGGGGCCCAACCCCGGGACUGCUCUUGGAACUGCGCGGCUGGAGUGCAGGAGGGGCAGGCGGAAUUCCUGGUGUAGCGGUGAAAUGCGUAGAUAUCAGGAGGAACACCGGUGGCGAAGGCGGCCUGCUGGACUGCGACUGACGUUGAGGCCCGAAAGCGUGGGGAGCAAACAGGAUUAGAUACCCCCGUA
rnacentral:rRNA from 1 species